GACGGAGGAUGCAAGCGUUAUCCGGAAUUAUUGGGCGUAAAGCGUCCGCAGGUGGCAGUUCAAGUCUGCUGUCAAAGACCGGGGCUUAACUUCGGAAAGGCAGUGGAAACUGAACAGCUAGAGUAUGGUAGGGGCAGAGGGAAUUCCUGGUGUAGCGGUGAAAUGCGCAGAUAUCAGGAGGAACACCAGUGGCGAAGGCGAGUCUCUGGACAUUUCCUGACGCUGAGGCACGAAAGCCAGGGGAGCAAACGGG
rnacentral:rRNA from 1 species